UUAAAUUGAAGAGUUUGAUCAUGGCUCAGAUUGAACGCUGGCGGCAGGCCUAACACAUGCAAGUCGAACGGUAACAGGAAGCAGCUUGCUGCUUCGCUGACGAGUGGCGGACGGGUGAGUAAUGUCUGGGAAACUGCCUGAUGGAGGGGGAUAACUACUGGAAACGGUGGCUAAUACCGCAUAACGUCGCAAGACCAAAGAGGGGGACCUUCG
rnacentral:rRNA from 1 species